rnacentral:rRNA from 1 species
CCUACGGGAGGCAGCAGUGAGGAAUAUUGGUCAAUGGACGCGAGUCUGAACCAGCCAAGUAGCGUGAAGGAUGACUGCCCUAUGGGUUUUAACCUUCUUUUAUAUGGGAGUAAAAUGUUCCACGUGUGGGAUUUUGUAUGUACCAUAUGAAUAAGGAUCGGCUAACUCCGUUCCAUCAGCCGCGGUAAUACGGAGGAUCCGAGCGUUAUCCGGAUUUAAUGGGUUUAAAGGGAGCGUAGGUGGAUUGUUAAGUCAGUUGUGAAAGUUUGCGGCUCAACCGUAAAAUUGCAGUUGAAACUGGCAGUCUUGAGUACAGUAGAGGUGGGCGGAAUUCGUGGUGUAGCGGUGAAAUGCUUAGAUAUCACGAAGAACUCCGAUUGCGAAGGCAGCUUACUGGACUGCAACUGACACUGAGGCUCGAAAGUGUGGGUAUCAAACAGGAUUAGAUACCCCAGUAGUC